AUUGAACGCUGGCGGCAGGCCUAACACAUGCAAGUCGAGCGGAUGAUGGGAGCUUGCUCCUGGAUUCAGCGGCGGACGGGUGAGUAAUACCUAGGAAUCUGCCUGAUAGUGGGGGACCACGUUUCGAAAGGAACGCUAAUACCGCAUACGUCCUACGGGAGAAAGCAGGGGACCUUCGGGCCUUGCGCUAUCAGAUGAGCCUAGGUCGGAUUAGCUAGUUGGUGAGGUAAUGGCUCACCAAGGCGACGAUCCGUAACUGGUCUGAGAGGAUGAUCAGUCACACUGGAACUGAGACACGGUCCAGACUCCUACGGGAGGCAGCAGUGGGGAAUAUUGGACAAUGGGCGAAAGCCUGAUCCAGCCAUGCCGCGUGUGUGAAGAAGGUCUUCGGAUUGUAAAGCACUUUAAGUUGGGAGGAAGGGCAGUAAGCUAAUACCUUGCUGUUUUGACGUUACCGACAGAAUAAGCACCGGCUAACUCUGUGCCAGCCGCCGCAGUAAAAC
rnacentral:rRNA from 1 species